GUUUUAACAGGCUUGAGUUAAGCAGAGACUUUCACUUUCAUGCUGCUGAGAGCUGCUGUGUGCUGUGGUAAUAACUGUGGUAGUAAGCGUAGCUUUAGCACAGCUGAGAGCUAGUCUGGCUUGAGGAGGGGCUGUUUUUAAAAAAGGGGGUACAGAGCAUGUGGAGUGAAAGGAAAGGGAAAACGAAAGAAAAGGGGGAGUGAGGACAUUUAAAAGGCAUUUUGGAAAGUACCAGAGGGUCAGGAGGUGGCCAUUUGGACCGGGAGAGGGGAGAAAGUGGACCUACAGCAGGAACUCGCAGGAUAAUAACGUGGGGGGCUGAACGCCAGCAGUGCCACAGCACGGUGGGAGGCGGCAGAAAGAGAAACAUGGGGAAUAAUAUUACCCACAGGGGCCGGUAGAAGCAUGACACCCACAGUCUUACUGCUGCUGUCAAUGGUUUACACUGUUCGAGGGAGCGGCUGCAAUGAUUUGGCCAAAUCAACUGUCAACAAUCUUCAGACCGAAAUCAGUGAAAAGCAGACUGAAUUUUUCACGGUGUUUCCCAGAAACUACUUUGUGCCUCGAUUCAACGACAGCACGCAGUGUCAGGACCAGACUGCCUCGGUAAGAUUCAGCCUCAGACUACACACACUUAAUGUGUGUAGGAGUGUUGAGUGUCUCCUCCUGUCUCUCUCCUGUUAUCUUGUGGGUCAAACUGACCAGUUUCAGAGUUAUUAACCACAGUUAUAACAUAAAAC
rnacentral:lncRNA from 1 species